AAAAUACAUAGUAUAUGUAUAAUCUAACCUGUACCUAGGAGUCUUCUUAACUUCUCUGAGACUGAAUCUCUGAGAUUUAUCACCCAGAGAAUGCUAUAUGAUGAAUCGAUGAAAAUACUGAUUGGUAGUCUUUCAAUAAACAUAGAAGUACAUUGAAUCAAGAACUCUGUAUACACAGAAGAAACAGACCCCAAAAUGGCAACUGUAAAAUCAUAUGGAAGAAGAAAAUUAGAGAGAUGACAAGAAUGCUGUGGAAAGAAAAUGGAGGGUUAUGUAACCUAACAGGGCUGUUGGGAAGAAAAGGACAAGUUCUCUGAAGGAACUGAUCCUGAAUGGAACAAGCAGGGGAAGACAAUUGCAGACAGAAGGUCAAAGGCAGUAAAGAGCCAAUACGGUGCACAUCGAAAAUUGCAAAACUUACUGAGCAACAAGAAAUCAAACUGCAUAUCAGGAACUGUGACUGAAGAAGUAAGCAAGAUCAAAGAGGGUUCAUCUAUGUCUUAUUAAAAAUUCUAGAAUUUUAUAUGCAAAUUAUACCACAUAAUGUUAACUUGUGGAAACCUACAUUAGCUCUUGCACUUGUUCCUCAUGCUGUUUUCAUCAUGGCAUUCUUUGAAAAUAAUAAAAUUCACGCAGCACCCUUGAUAGAGAAAAGGGGUUGUUUGCUUGCCUCACCCCCUCUCUUGCCCCCAGGCCCUAUCCUGUUUCUCCAAGGCUGAGGAUAUCAAUUGGCAGAGUUGUGCUGUAGCUGUUCAGUUGAAGGCUCUGAGAUGCCACCAGGUAGAGGGAGGAUUGAGGAUUAUAAGCCUGAAGGCGAGGAAAGAAGUGUGGGCAAGCUGGUGCCCUUUGCUGAAGGAUAUCUCCUAUGUUCCUCUGUGGCAGAAGCAGAAUCAAAACAUUUCAUUUUAUGGAAGCAAUUAGACACACAUCUGUUCCAGAACUUACAUAUUAAAUGUUUGUCCGUAUAGACCACGUGAAUUUCAAAACAUCUGUAGGCAACAAGGGAGGUUUUAAGUCAUACUGAUGUACAAGAACAUGUUGUGGGAUUUGGUCCUCUUUCACUUUGGUUCAAUGGAAACACAACUUUGAUUCCCUGGGUAGUUAAAAACCUAUGGUUACCUCUGCUAAAACCAACCUAGGAAGGAUUAUAAUAACUUUAGCUUUUUAUAUUUAUUUAACAUGUGGUUUCAAAAUGUCUUUUCACUUCUAUAUCCCUAGCAUUGAAUGUAGUGUCUAUUCAAUAAAUAAUUGUGGAAUGAUUAAAAGAAUAUAUAU
rnacentral:lncRNA from 12 species